AAACCGGAUUUUCUAAAAUCCACCCAACCCACAAAGGCAGUCAAUU
rfam:Phaeodactylum tricornutum CCAP 1055/1 chromosome 6, whole genome shotgun sequence.